rnacentral:rRNA from 1 species
UGGGGGAUAUUGGACAAUGGGGGGAACCCUGAUCCAGCGACGCCGCGUGAGUGAAGAAGUAUUUCGGUAUGUAAAGCUCUAUCAGCAGGGAAGAAAGAAAUGACGGUACCUGAGUAAGAAGCCCCGGCUAACUACGUCGCC